rnacentral:rRNA from 1 species
CCCUUAGAUGUCCUGGGCUGCACGCGCGCUACACUGGAAGUUACGGAUUGAGAUACUACCUUGUCCGAAAUGGUCCGGGUAAUCACCUAAAAGCUUGUCAUAAUUGGAAUGGAUUAUUGUAACUAGUAAUCCUGAACGAGGAAUUCCUAGUAAGUCCCAGUCAACAGCUGGUACUGAUUACGUCCCUGCCCUUUGUACACACCGCCCGUCGCUACUACUGAUUGGACGUUUAAGCAAGAUUUUUAAACACUGACAGUGUGUAGUUCACGCUAUACUGCAGUGAGAAGAAGAAGAUCGAGCUUACUUGUCUAGAGGAAGUAAAAGUCGUAACA